UUGAACGCUGGCGGCAGGCCUAACACAUGCAAGUCGAACGGUAACAGGAAGCAGCUUGCUGCUUUGCUGACGAGUGGCGGACGGGUGAGUAAUGUCUGGGAAACUGCCUGAUGGAGGGGGAUAACUACUGGAAACGGUAGCUAAUACCGCAUAACGUCGCAAGACCAAAGAGGGGGACCUUAGGGCCUCUUGCCAUCGGAUGUGCCCAGAUGGGAUUAGCUAGUAGGUGGGGUAACGGCUCACCUAGGCGACGAUCCCUAGCUGGUCUGAGAGGAUGACCAGCCACACUGGAACUGAGACACGGUCCAGACUCCUACGGGAGGCAGCAGUGGGGAAUAUUGCACAAUGGGCGCAAGCCUGAUGCAGCCAUGCCGCGUGUAUGAAGAAGGCCUUCGGGUUGUAAAGUACUUUCAGCGGGGAGGAAGGGAGUAAAGUUAAUACCUUUGCUCAUUGACGUUACCCGCAGAAGAAGCACCGGCUAACUCCGUGCCAGCAGCCGCGGUAAUACGGAGGGUGCAAGCGUUAAUCGGAAUUACUGGGCGUAAAGCGCACGCAGGCGGUUUGUUAAGUCAGAUGUGAAAUCCCCGGGCUCAACCUGGGAACUGCAUCUGAUACUGGCAAGCUUGAGUCUCGUAGAGGGGGGUAGAAUUCCAGGUGUAGCGGUGAAAUGCGUAGAGAUCUGGAGGAAUACCGGUGGCGAAGGCGGCCCCCUGGACGAAGACUGACGCUCAGGUGCGAAAGCGUGGGGAGCAAACAGGAUUAGAUACCCUGGUAGUCCACGCCGUAAACGAUGUCGACUUGGAGGUUGUGCCCUUGAGGCGUGGCUUCCGGAGCUAACGCGUUAAGUCGACCGCCUGGGGAGUACGGCCGCAAGGUUAAAACUCAAAUGAAUUGACGGGGGCCCGCACAAGCGGUGGAGCAUGUGGUUUAAUUCGAUGCAACGCGAAGAACCUUACCUGGUCUUGACAUCCACGGAAGUUUUCAGAGAUGAGAAUGUGCCUUCGGGAACCGUGAGACAGGUGCUGCAUGGCUGUCGUCAGCUCGUGUUGUGAAAUGUUGGGUUAAGUCCCGCAACGAGCGCAACCCUUAUCCUUUGUUGCCAGCGGUCCGGCCGGGAACUCAAAGGAGACUGCCAGUGAUAAACUGGAGGAAGGUGGGGAUGACGUCAAGUCAUCAUGGCCCUUACGACCAGGGCUACACACGUGCUACAAUGGCGCAUACAAAGAGAAGCGACCUCGCGAGAGCAAGCGGACCUCAUAAAGUGCGUCGUAGUCCGGAUUGGAGUCUGCAACUCGACUCCAUGAAGUCGGAAUCGCUAGUAAUCGUGGAUCAGAAUGCCACGGUGAAUACGUUCCCGGGCCUUGUACACACCGCCCGUCACACCAUGGGAGUGGGUUGCAAAAGAAGUAGGUAGCUUAACCUUCGGGAGAGCGCUUACCACUUUGUGAUUCAUGACUGGGGUG
rnacentral:rRNA from 1 species